GACAGAGGCCUCGAGCGUUAGGCGGAAUCACUGGGCUUAAAGCGUGUGUAGGCGGAAGAGUAAGUACCUUGUGAAAUCCCACGGCUCACCCGUGGAACCGCUGGGUAUACUGCUCUUCUUGGGCCACUCAGGGGCGACUGGAACAAGCGGUGGAGCGGUGAAAUGCGUAGAUAUCGCUUGGAACGCCGAAGGUGAAAACAGGUCGCUGGGAGUGCGCCGACGCUGAGACACGAAAGCCAGGGGAGCGAACGGG
rnacentral:rRNA from 1 species